GAUGAACGCUGGCGGCGUGCCUAACACAUGCAAGUCGAGCGAAGCACUUACUUUAGAUUUCUUCGGAAUGACGAAGUUUGUGACUGAGCGGCGGACGGGUGAGUAACGCGUGGGCAACCUGCCCUGUACAGGGGGAUAACAGUUAGAAAUGACUGCUAAUACCGCAUAAGCCCACAGCUUCGCAUGAAGCAGUGGGAAAAACUCCGGUGGUACAGGAUGGGCCCGCGUCUGAUUAGCUAGUUGGUAAGGUAACGGCUUACCAAGGCGACGAUCAGUAGCCGACCUGAGAGGGUGACCGGCCACAUUGGGACUGAGACACGGCCCAAACUCCUACGGGAGGCAGCAGUGGGGAAUAUUGCACAAUGGGGGAAACCCUGAUGCAGCGACGCCGCGUGAGCGAUGAAGUAUUUCGGUAUGUAAAGCUCUAUCAGCAGGGAAGAAAGUGACGGUACCUGACGAAGAAGCCCCGGCUAACUACGUG
rnacentral:rRNA from 1 species